GAUACCCUACGGGGCGCAGCAGUGGGGAAUAUUGCACAAUGGGCGAAAGCCUGAUGCAGCAACGCCGCGUGAAGGAAGAAGGGUUUCGGCUCGUAAACUUCUAUCAACAGGGACGAAAGAAAUGACGGUACCUGAAUAAAAAGCCCCGGCUAACUACGUGCCAGCAGCCGCGGUAAUACGUAGGGGGCAAGCGUUAUCCGGAUUUACUGGGUGUAAAGGGAGCGUAGACGGCAGCACAAGUCUGGAGUGAAAUCCCGGGGCUUAACCCCGGAACUGCUUUGGAAACUGUGAGGCUGGAGUGCAGG
rnacentral:rRNA from 1 species